UCAUGAUGCGGGCUUUGGUCAGAGUGCAGGUCAGAUGCGGAUUAGGAUGCAACCCGAUUGUACCCAAGACCAUCUCAUAUUUAAAUUGGAAGCGGCAUUUUAAAUGAACAAUCGUCAAAUAAAAACGUUAAAUUUGAUUCUUAAAGUCGAUUUUCCAAGUAUAUACAACUUUUUGAGUAGGCUGGCCCAUUUCAACUCCUAAUUAAUAUGGACAACCAA
rnacentral:lncRNA from 1 species